GAGGGUGUAGCUCAGUCGGUAGAGCAACGGACUUUUAAUCCGUUGGUCCAGGGUUCGAGUCCCUGCACCCUCA
rnacentral:tRNA from 1 species